AUUGAACGCUGGCGGCAGGCCUAACACAUGCAAGUCGAGCGGCAGCGGGGGGAAGCUUGCUUUCCCGCCGGCGAGCGGCGGACGGGUGAGUAAUGUCUGGGAAACUGCCUGAUGGAGGGGGAUAACUACUGGAAACGGUAGCUAGUACCGCAUAACGUCCUCGGACCAAAGUGGGGGACCUUCGGGCCUCAUGCCAUCAGAUGUGCCCAGAUGGGAUUAGCUAGUAGGUGGGGUAACGGCUCACCUAGGCGACGAUCCCUAGCUGGACUGAGAGGAUGACCAGCCACACUGGAACUGAGACACGGUCCAGACUCCUACGGGAGGCAGCAGUGGGGAAUAUUGCACAAUGGGCGCAAGCCUGAUGCAGCCAUGCCGCGUGUAUGAAGAAGGCCUUCGGGUUGUAAAGUACUUUCAGCGGGGAGGAAGGUGUUGUGGUUAAUAACCACAGCAAUUGACGUUACCCGCAGAAGAAGCACCGGCUAACUCCGUGCCAGCCGCCGCAGUAACAC
rnacentral:rRNA from 1 species